rnacentral:rRNA from 1 species
GACGAACGCUGGCGGCGUGCUUAACACAUGCAAGUCGAACGAAGUGGCGAACGGGUGAGUAACUCGUAAUCAACCUGCCCUUCAGAGGGGGACAACAGUUGGAAACGACUGCUAAUACCGCAUACUGAAGGAGGUGAUUGCGUCUGAUUAGCUAGUUGGAGGGGUAACGGCCCACCAAGGCGAUGAUAAGUAGCCGGUCUGAGAGGAUGAACGGCCACAUUGGGAAUGAGAAACGGCCCAGACUUCUACGGGAGGCAGCAGUGGGGAAACUUCCGCAAUGGACGAAAGUCUGAAGGAGCAACGCCGCGUGAGUGAUGACGGCCUUCGGGUUGUAAAGCUCUGUUAAUCGGGACGCGGUACCGGAAUAGAAAGCCACGGCUAACUACGUGCCAGCAGCCGCGGUAAUAC